AAGACUAUACUUUCAGGGAUCAUUUCUAUAGUUCGUUACAAAUGUCUCAGCACAUGGACAGUCUGAGCCUGGGGUGCUGAAGUGUUUUAUUUAGCAAAGGCACAGAUUUCAGUUAAGUCAGUAGAGAAGCAGUGCUGUGUUUGUAUAUGGAAUCAUAUAUGUUAGGUUCCACAAUAGAGCACUUUCAGGCAAGC
rnacentral:snoRNA from 1 species